AUUGAUUGAUCGUUGUUAUAAGGAGAGGGUCGUAAAUUGUUAGUAGGUUUUUUUGGUUAGAAGAUGAUGUAAUAUUUUUAAGAUUUUUGUAUAUAUUUGUGUGAAGUAUUUGAUUUUAAUAAAAGUUAGGAUUGUUGUUUUUAUGUGAUUUUUGUAUAAUAUUUUAGUGUAUAAAAAUAGAUUUUGGAAAAUAAAGAAUUGGGAUUAGUUUUUCGAAAUAUU
rnacentral:misc_RNA from 1 species